AACUUUUAACAACGGAUCUCUUGGCUCUCGCAUCGAUGAAGAACGCAGCGAAAUGCGAAAGUAAUGUGAAUUGCAGAAUUCAGUGAAUCAUCGAAUCUUUGAACGCACCUUGCGCUCCUUGGUAUUCCGAGGAGCAUGCCUGUUUGAGUGUCAUUAAAUUCUCAACCCAUUCAACUUGUAAUAGUUGGUAUGUGGCUUGGAUGUGGGGGUAUGUGCAGGCCUUGAUUCAAAGGUCAGCUCCCCUGAAAUGCAUUAGCGGAACGGUUUGCGAUCUGUCACUGGUGUGAUAAUUAUCUACACCUAAGACUAUGGAAUGCUCUCUGUCUGUUCAGCUUAUAAUAGUCCCAUCUUGUGGACAACUUUUGAAAGUUUGACCUCAAAUCAGGUAGGAUUACCCGCUGAACUUAAGCAUAUCAAUAAGCGGAGGCU
rnacentral:misc_RNA from 1 species